AACGAACGCUGGCGGCAUGCCUAACACAUGCAAGUCGAACGAGAUCUUCGGGUCUAGUGGCGCACGGGUGCGUAACGCGUGGGAAUCUGCCCUUUGGUUCGGAAUAACAGUUGGAAACGACUGCUAAUACCGGAUGAUGACGAAAGUCCAAAGAUUUAUCGCCAGAGGAUGAGCCCGCGUAGGAUUAGCUAGUUGGUGUGGUAAAGGCGCACCAAGGCGACGAUCCUUAGCUGGUCUGAGAGGAUGAUCAGCCACACUGGGACUGAGACACGGCCCAGACUCAUACGGGAGGCAGCAGUGGGGAGUAUUGGACAAUGGGCGAAAGCCUGAUCCAGCAAUGCCGCGUGAGUGAUGAAGGCCUUAGGGUUGUAAAGCUCUUUUACCCGGGAUGAUAAUGACAGUACCGGGAGAAUAAGCUCCGGCUAACUCCGUGCCAGCCGCUGCCGUAA
rnacentral:rRNA from 1 species